CUGGCGCGCCCCGCCGCCGUUCCGAGUUGGGGGGUUUCUGUGUUGUGGGUCCGGGAAGAAGCGAGCGUGGAAAGGUGCCGGGUUCUCGAACGCUGUUUCUGUCCACUGCCACCCUCCUCCCCGUUCUGGGAGUGGGAUUAAGUCGUGUCUGUGGGUCUGGCCAUCUCCGGAGUCUGCAGCUUGGGGCCGAUUCCUCGGUCUCUACCUCCUGUUGCAGGUCUUUUUCGGGCUCUGUGGCUUCUUUGGUUCACGCGUCUCCCGACACGCAUACGCACAGUCCUGAACGUAUGUGACUGAAAGUUAAUCCCCCCAGAAGUCCCAGUUUGGGUUCCAUCAAGCUGUAAGAGCUUUCGUCUCAACACAAGUCAGGCCUCUUCUUUAGCAAAUGGCUGAGACGGGGCUAGGGAAAUCUUGAUCACACCCAUUAAGUGAUUCGAAAGCGUUGCAAGUCCCCUGAGCCUGGUACAGCCUGGACCCGUGUUUCUAGGCGAAUGGAUGAGAUAUUCUGUCUUGCCGUGUGCUAAAUUGGACAGGUUCAGGGGAAGAUAAUUUGUAUAAAAAGGUAGUUCUUUACUGCUAACUGCCAAACUUCUGCAAUCAAAAACACCCGUAGCAGUAACUUGACCUAGGUUAAAAAAGUGUGUGGAUGACAAGCUCAGAAGGAAUAUACAAGCAACUGGAACAAGGCUUUGACUUAAAGAUCUUGGGCAGAUAAAGGAACUUCAACUUCAUCUUGUGCUUUGGGAGAGAUGGUGGAGCAAAGAGGGGAGGCCAGAGAGAUUUUGCGGCUUCUUCAGUUCAGCAUGUCAAAACACUAUACUUGGGAUGUUGAUUUCUGAGCCCCAACAAUACUGAUUUCCAGACCAGACUUUAGGCAAAGAAAGAACAGACUUCAAGCAAACUUUUCUCUACUGAAUAGGAUUAUAUAUUUUAUCACCUUGUGAAGAAUUUCAUCAGAAACAACAUCUCAUUGCAUAUUUGCAUCUUUUCUUGAAAAUUCCUCAA
rnacentral:lncRNA from 1 species